AGCGUCUGGAAAGGCGCGCGAUACAGGGUGACAGCCCCGUACACAAAAGCGCAUGUGCUGUGAGCUCGAUGAGUAGGGCGGGACACGUGGUAUCCUGUCUGAAUAUGGGGGGACCAUCCUCCAAGGCUAAAUACUCCUGACUGACCGAUAGUGAACCAGUACCGUGAGGGAAAGGCGAAAAGAACCCCGGCGAGGGGAGUGAAAAAGAACCUGAAACCGUGUACGUACAAGCAGUGGGAGCCCCACCACUAAGCCAGUGGUGAACUCCACAUCCGCAUCCUUUGCUGAGGAUACGGUUAACGGAGCGAAAGCGACGUUCAACCGCAAAACAAGCAGAGGGGGCUUAGUGGUGGGGUGACUGCGUACCUUUUGUAUAAUGGGUCAGCGACUUAUAUUCUGUAGCAAGGUUAACCGAAUAGGGGAGCCGGAGGGAAACCGAGUCUUAAUUGGGCGUUAAGUUGCAGGGUAUAGACCCGAAACCCGGUGAUCUAGCCAUGGGCAGGUUGAAGGUUGGGUAACACUAACUGGAGGACCGAACCGACUAAUGUUGAAAAAUUAGCGGAUGACCUGUGGCUGGGGGUGAAAGGCCAAUCAAAC
rnacentral:rRNA from 1 species